AUGUUGAGAGAUGAAUGUGGACAAAAGAGCCUUGAAAUGCAGGGAGUUCAACGCGGGAUUCACAAAGCGAUUUCUGUUGAAAGAUGGAUCAGUAUCCUGUUUAUUUGGACCAGCUGCUCCACUGAAUCACAACCCUUCUCCUCUUAUCUUCUUCCCUCAUCCUUUGCCCAUGUGACCACGCCUGCUCUGAGAGCGACUGCAGCCUCACUGCCAGAGGAUUCCACCAGAAUAUGAAUGAGAAACCAGAGAGAACCAGGGCAGCAGAAUAGGAGGACAGUGCAGAAACAAACACACUUACAGAUAUUGAUGUGUCACAUUGAUUCCAUGUUUCCAUGACAAAUACUGGGGUUGAAAUCAGGAAUAAUCCUUAUUUUAAACAGAGAUGCUUCAACAGCCUAAUAGCCUGUGUAUUUGAUGGCGUUGUGCAUUCUAUUUCCACGAUAGUUUAAUAUUGACCAUCUGAUCAAUAAUAAAGAUUGCAUUCAUAUGGCGAGUCCUAUCUGA
ensembl:lncRNA